rnacentral:tRNA from 1 species
GGACAUAGCUCAGUUGGUAGAGUUCUUGCCUUGUAUGUACAAGAUCCUGGGUUCAAUCCCCAGCACCA